CGAAGACACGCGAGGUAGACCUUUAAUUCCAACGGAGUGAACUAUCAGCAACUACAAAAGAGAACCAUUUGUGCAUCUUUAAGUCUGACAACUCAGUCCACUACAGUCUUUGAGUUCAUAUUUAAUGAAACACAUUACUGGGAUAACUUUCCAGAUGAAGAAAUUACCCACUUCUAUGGUGAUUCUUCUUGGCCAUGGCAUUCAAGGGAAUUAUGUGAAGAGUCAUCAAUGGCAAUGAUCGAAUGUGGUUCGAAACACUUCCACAUCAGAUAAGGAGAAAG